rnacentral:tRNA from 1 species
GGCUCCACAGUGUAGCACAUCUGUUUUACACACAGAAGGUCCUGGGUUCGUGCCCCAGGUGGAGCCA